AUACGUAGGUCCCGAACGUUGCGCGAAAUUACUGGGCGUAAAGGGUCCGUAGGCGGUCUGGUAAGUGGAAGGUGAAAGCCUGGGGCUCAACUCCAAAAUUGCCUUCCAAACUGCCGGACUUGAGGCAGGGAGAGGUCGGCGGAAUUCCCGGUGUAGUGGUGAAAUGCGUAGAUAUCGGGAGGAACACCAGUGGCGAAGGCGGCCGACUGGAACUGUCCUGACGCUGAGGGACGAAAGCCAGGGGAGCGAACCGGAUUAGAAACCCUAGUAGUCC
rnacentral:rRNA from 1 species